AUGAAUAAGAGGGAACAAACAAGAAUUCCUCUAUGGUACUCGUGUCGUCAAAUGGUAGCAAACCAAAAUGAGUAUCAUUAUUCAAAGAUAAUUUGUUUGUAAAUGUGUUAGCCGUUAAUCACCUUAUACCAUCGUCUCCUUCCACCCUCUUUCAUUGUCCACACCGUCGAUCUGACCUCCUCGCGCGCCGGAUCCGGCCUCCACACCCG
rnacentral:lncRNA from 1 species